AUUGAACGCUGGCGGCAGGCCUAACACAUGCAAGUCGAACGAGUGGCGGACGGGUGAGUAAUGUAUGGGCAACUGCCUGCUGGAGGGGGCUAACUACUGGAAACGGUAGCUAAUACCGCAUACCAUCAGAUGUGCCCAGAUGGGAUUAGCUAGUUGGGGGGGUAAGGGCGCACCAAGGCGACGAUCCCUAGCUGGUCUGAGAGGAUGAACCGUCACACUGGAACUGAGACACGGUCCAGACUCCUAUGGGAGGCAGCAGUGGGGAAUAUUGCACAAUGGGCGCAAGCCUGAUGCAGCCAUGCCGCGUGUAUGAAGAAGGCCUUCGGGUUGUAAAGUACUUUCAGCGGGGAGGCGUUACCCGCAGAAGAAGCACCGGCUAACUCCGUGCCAGCAGCCGCGGUAAUUC
rnacentral:rRNA from 1 species